rnacentral:rRNA from 1 species
CCGUAAACGUUGGGCACUAGGUGUGGGGACCAUUCCACGGUUUCCGCGCCGCAGCUAACGCAUUAAGUGCCCCGCCUGGGGAGUACGGCCGCAAGGCUAAAACUCAAAGGAAUUGACGGGGGCCCGCACAAGCGGCGGAGCAUGCGGAUUAAUUCGAUGCAACGCGAAGAACCUUACCAAGGCUUGACAUGUUCUCGAUCGCCGUAGAGAUACGGUUUCCCCUUUGGGGCGGGAUCACAGGUGGUGCAUGGUUGUCGUCAGCUCGUGUCGUGAGAUGUUGGGUUAAGUCCCGCAACGAGCGCAACCCUCGUUCCAUGUUGCCAGCACGUGAUGGUGGGGACUCAUGGGAGACUGCCGGGGUCAACUCGGAGGAAGGUGGGGACGACGUCAAAUCAUCAUGCCCCUUAUGUCUUGGGCUUCACGCAUGCUACAAUGGCCGGUACAAUGGGUUGCGAUACUGUGAGGUGGAGCUAAUCCCAAAAAGCCGGUCUCAGUUCGGAUUGGGGUCUGCAACUCGACCCCAUGAAGUCGGAGUCGCUAGUAAUCGCAGAUCAGCAACGCUGCGGUGAAUACGUUCCCGGGCCUUGUACAC